rnacentral:rRNA from 1 species
AGACGGGUGAGGAACACGUACGCAACUUUCCUCAAACCGGGGCACAACCUUGAGAAAUCAGGGCUAAUUCCCCAUAACAUUGCGAGAGGGCAUCUGAUUGCAAUUAAAGAUUCGUCGGUUUGAGAUGGGCGUGCGUUCGAUUAGCUAGUUGGUAGGGUAACGGCUUACCAAGGCAACGAUCGAUAGCUGGUGUGAGAGCACGACCGGCCACACGGGCACUGAGAUACGGGCCCGACUCCUACGGGAGGCAGCAGUAAGGAAUAUUGGUCAAUGGACGAAAGUCUGAACCAGCCAUGCCGCGUGAAGGAUGAAGGCCCUCUGGGUUGUAAACUUCUUUUAUCUAUGAAGAAAUGUCCUGUUUCUACGGGAUUUGGCGGUAAUAGAUGAAUAAGCACCGGCUAACUCCGUGCCAGCAGCCGCGGUAAUACGGAGGGUGCAAGCGUUAUCCGGAUUUACUGGAUUUAAAGGGUGCGUAGGUGGGUUGGUAAGUCAGUGGUGAAAUACUUUCGCUUAACGAAGGAACUGCCAUU